GAUGAACGCUGGCGGCGUGCCUAACACAUGCAAGUCGAGCGAUUUACUUCGGUAAAGAGCGGCGGACGGGUGAGUAACGCGUGGGUAACCUGCCCUGUACACACGGAUAACAUACCGACAGGUAUGCUAAUACGAGAUAAUAUGCUUUUAUCGCAUGGUAGAAGUAUCAAAGCUCCGGCGGUACAGGAUGGACCCGCGUCUGAUUAGCUAGUUGGUAAGGUAACGGCUUACCAAGGCGACGAUCAGUAGCCGACCUGAGAGGGUGAUCGGCCACAUUGGAACUGAGACACGGUCCAAACUCCUACGGGAGGCAGCAGUGGGGAAUAUUGCACAAUGGGCGAAAGCCUGAUGCAGCAACGCCGCGUGAGCGAUGAAGGCCUUCGGGUCGUAAAGCUCUGUCCUCAAGGAAGAUAAUGACGGUACUUGAGGAGGAAGCCCCGGCUAACUACGUGCCAGCAGCCGCUGUAA
rnacentral:rRNA from 1 species